UACGAAGGGGGCUAGCGUUGCUCGGAAUCACUGGGCGUAAAGCGCACGUAGGCGGAUUGCUAAGUCAGGGGUGAAAUCCUGGAGCUCAACUCCAGAACUGCCCUUGAUACUGGCAUUCUCGAGUCCGGAAGAGGUGAGUGGAAUUCCGAGUGUAGAGGUGAAAUUCGUAGAUAUUCGGAGGAACACCAGUGGCGAAGGCGGCUCACUGGUCCGGUACUGACGCUGAGGUGCGAAAGCGUGGGGAGCAAACAGG
rnacentral:rRNA from 1 species